rnacentral:ribozyme from 1 species
GUGCAUCGUCGCGGCAAUGAACUCCUCGAGGUUCAACGUGCCGUUGCCAUCAGCGUCAACCUCGCCCAUCAGAUCGUGCAGCUGCUCCUCGCUCGCCUUGCAUCCCUGCUUC